UGGGUAAUCUUGUGAAACUUCMUCSUGCUGGGGAUAGAGCAUUGCAACUAUUGCUCUUGAACGAGGAAUCCCUAGUAAGUACAAGUCACUAGCUUGUGCUGAUUACCUCCCUGCCCUUUGUACACACCGCCCGUCGCUACUACCGAUUGAAUGGCUUAGUGAGGCCUUCGGAUUGAAAUUCGGAGACUGGCAACAGACUCUUGGUUUUGAAAAGUUGGACAAACUUGGUCAUUUAGAGGAAGUAAAAGUCGUAACAAGGUUUCCGUAGGUGAACCUGCGGAAGGAUCAUU
rnacentral:rRNA from 1 species